rnacentral:rRNA from 1 species
AUCGAACGCUGGCGGCAGGCCUAACACAUGCAAGUCGAACGAGUGGCGGACGGGCGAGUAAUUGCUUGCAAACUGCCUGACGGAGGGGGCUAACUACUGGAAACGGUAGCUAAUACCGCUUAACGCCCUUUCGGGCCACGUGGGAUUAGCUAGUUGGUGGGGUAACGGCACACCAAGGCGACGAUCCAUAGCUGGUCCGAGAGGGUGACCAGCCACACUGGAACUGAGACACGGUCCAGACUCCUACGGGAGGCAGCAGUGGGGAAUAUUGGACAAUGGGCGCAAGCCUGAUGCAGCAAUGCCGCGUGUAUGAAGAAGGCCUUCGGGUUGUAAAGUACUUUCAGCGGGGAGGCGGUACCCACAGAAGAAGCAACGGCUAACUACGUGCCAGCAGCCGCGGUAAUAC